AUUAAUUCCAAAUAACUCAUUAUAACUCCUUUCCUAUUAUGAAAGAUAUUCUUCCGGCUCGGCAUCUCUCUAUAAAACGUCCAACCAUAUUAUUCUCAUUGUUUCGGCUAUCUUUCCUUCGUGAACAGAUCAUCACAGGAAUUGAACACGAUCGACACUGCCUCCCACCUUUCAUAACGACUCGGGUUAUUUAGUCAAGGUUUUUGCAAGAUCCCGCUGUAUCUUUCUAGAAUCUUUAAGAAAUUACCGAAACCACACAAUUAGGUAUAUUUUCUUUUACGCAUCUCUUUCUUUUUUCUGCACCAUUUUCUAUUUCACAUCAAUUUUUCUCUA